rnacentral:rRNA from 1 species
UUAAGCGACUAAGCGUACACGGUGGAUGCCCUGGCAGUCAGAGGCGAUGAAGGACGUGCUAAUCUGCGAUAAGCGUCGGUAAGGUGAUAUGAACCGUUAUAACCGGCGAUUUCCGAAUGGGGAAACCCAGUGUGAUUCGUCACACUAUCAUUAACUGAAUCCAUAGGUUAAUGAGGCGAACCGGGGGAACUGAAACAUCUAAGUACCCCGAGGAAAAGAAAUCAACCGAGAUUCCCCCAGUAGCGGCGAGCGAACGGGGAGCAGCCCAGAGCCUGAAUCAGUGUGUGUGUUAGUGGAAGCGUCUGGAAAGGCGCGCGAUACAGGGUGACAGCCCCGUACACAAAAAUGCACAUGCUGUGAGCUCGAUGAGUAGGGCGGGACACGUGGUAUCCUGUCUGAAUAUGGGGGGACCAUCCUCCAAGGCUAAAUACUCCUGACUGACCGAUAGUGAACCAGUACCGUGAGGGAAAGGCGAAAAGAACCCCGGCGAGGGGAGUGAAAAAGAACCUGAAACCGUGUACGUACAAGCAGUGGGAGCACGCUUAGGCGUGUGACUGCGUACCUUUUGUAUAAUGGGUCAGCGACUUAUAUUCUGUAGCAAGGUUAACCGAAUAGGGGAGCCGAAGGGAAACCGAGUCUUAACUGGGCGUUAAGUUGCAGGGUAUAGACCCGAAACCCGGUGAUCUAGCCAUGGGCAGGUUGAAGGUUGGGUAACACUAACUGGAGGACCGAACCGACUAAUGUUGAAAAAUUAGCGGAUGACUUGUGGCUGGGGGUGAAAGGCCAAUCAAACCGGGAGAUAGCUGGUUCUCCCCGAAAGCUAUUUAGGUAGCGCCUCGUGAAUUCAUCUCCGGGGGUAGAGCACUGUUUCGGCAAGGGGGUCAUCCCGACUUACCAACCCGAUGCAAACUGCGAAUACCGGAGAAUGUUAUCACGGGAGACACACGGCGGGUGCUAACGUCCGUCGUGAAGAGGGAAACAACCCAGACCGCCAGCUAAGGUCCCAAAGUCAUGGUUAAGUGGGAAACGAUGUGGGAAGGCCCAGACAGCCAGGAUGUUGGCUUAGAAGCAGCCAUCAUUUAAAGAAAGCGUAAUAGCUCACUGGUCGAGUCGGCCUGCGCGGAAGAUGUAACGGGGCUAAACCAUGCACCGAAGCUGCGGCAGCGACGCUGAUGCGUUGUUGGGUAGGGGAGCGUUCUGUAAGCCUGUGAAGGUGUACUGUGAGGUAUGCUGGAGGUAUCAGAAGUGCGAAUGCUGACAUAAGUAACGAUAAAGCGGGUGAAAAGCCCGCUCGCCGGAAGACCAAGGGUUCCUGUCCAACGUUAAUCGGGGCAGGGUGAGUCGACCCCUAAGGCGAGGCCGAAAGGCGUAGUCGAUGGGAAACAGGUUAAUAUUCCUGUACUUGGUGUUACUGCGAAGGGGGGACGGAGAAGGCUAUGUUGGCCGGGCGACGGUUGUCCCGGUUUAAGCGUGUAGGCUGGUUUUCCAGGCAAAUCCGGAAAAUCAAGGCUGAGGCGUGAUGACGAGGCACUACGGUGCUGAAGCAACAAAUGCCCUGCUUCCAGGAAAAGCCUCUAAGCAUCAGGUAACAUCAAAUCGUACCCCAAACCGACACAGGUGGUCAGGUAGAGAAUACCAAGGCGCUUGAGAGAACUCGGGUGAAGGAACUAGGCAAAAUGGUGCCGUAACUUCGGGAGAAGGCACGCUGAUAUGUAGGUGAAGUCCCUCGCGGAUGGAGCUGAAAUCAGUCGAAGAUACCAGCUGGCUGCAACUGUUUAUUAAAAACACAGCACUGUGCAAACACGAAAGUGGACGUAUACGGUGUGACGCCUGCCCGGUGCCGGAAGGUUAAUUGAUGGGGUCAGCGCAAGCGAAGCUCUUGAUCGAAGCCCCGGUAAACGGCGGCCGUAACUAUAACGGUCCUAAGGUAGCGAAAUUCCUUGUCGGGUAAGUUCCGACCUGCACGAAUGGCGUAAUGAUGGCCAGGCUGUCUCCACCCGAGACUCAGUGAAAUUGAACUCGCUGUGAAGAUGCAGUGUACCCGCGGCAAGACGGAAAGACCCCGUGAACCUUUACUAUAGCUUGACACUGAACAUUGAGCCUUGAUGUGUAGGAUAGGUGGGAGGCUUUGAAGUGUGGACGCCAGUCUGCAUGGAGCCGACCUUGAAAUACCACCCUUUAAUGUUUGAUGUUCUAACGUUGACCCGUAAUCCGGGUUGCGGACAGUGUCUGGUGGGUAGUUUGACUGGGGCGGUCUCCUCCUAAAGAGUAACGGAGGAGCACGAAGGUUGGCUAAUCCUGGUCGGACAUCAGGAGGUUAGUGCAAUGGCAUAAGCCAGCUUGACUGCGAGCGUGACGGCGCGAGCAGGUGCGAAAGCAGGUCAUAGUGAUCCGGUGGUUCUGAAUGGAAGGGCCAUCGCUCAACGGAUAAAAGGUACUCCGGGGAUAACAGGCUGAUACCGCCCAAGAGUUCAUAUCGACGGCGGUGUUUGGCACCUCGAUGUCGGCUCAUCACAUCCUGGGGCUGAAGUAGGUCCCAAGGGUAUGGCUGUUCGCCAUUUAAAGUGGUACGCGAGCUGGGUUUAGAACGUCGUGAGACAGUUCGGUCCCUAUCUGCCGUGGGCGCUGGAGAACUGAGGGGGGCUGCUCCUAGUACGAGAGGACCGGAGUGGACGCAUCACUGGUGUUCGGGUUGUCAUGCCAAUGGCACUGCCCGGUAGCUAAAUGCGGAAGAGAUAAGUGCUGAAAGCAUCUAAGCACGAAACUUGCCCCGAGAUGAGUUCUCCCUGACCCUUUAAGGGUCCUGAAGGAACGUUGAAGACGACGACGUUGAUAGGCCGGGUGUGUAAGCGCAGCGAUGCGUUGAGCUAACCGGUACUAAUGAACCGUGAGGCUUAACCUU